rnacentral:rRNA from 1 species
UACGUAGGGUGCAGGCGUUAAUCGGAAUUACUGGGCGUAAAGCGUGCGCAGGCGGUUCGCUAAGACAGGUGUGAAAUCCCCGGGCUUAACCUGGGAACUGCGCUUGUAACUGGCAAGCUUGAGUGUGGCAGAGGGGGGUGGAAUUCCACGUGUAGCAGUGAAAUGCGUAGAGAUGUGGAGGAACACCGAUGGCGAAGGCAGCCCCCUGGGCUAACACUGACGCUCAUGCACGAAAGCGUGGGGAGCAAACAGGAUUAGAAACCCGUAGUCC